rnacentral:rRNA from 1 species
AACGAACGCUGGCGGCAUGCCUUACACAUGCAAGUCGAACGGUAACGCGGGGCAACCUGGCGACGAGUGGCGAACGGGUGUGUAAUACAUCGGAACGUGCCCAGUAGUGGGGGAUAGCCCGGCGAAAGCCGGAUUAAUACCGCAUACGACCUACGGGUGAAAGCGGGGGAUCGCAAGACCUCGCGCUAUUGGAGCGGCCGAUGUCAGAUUAGCUAGUUGGUGGGGUAAAGGCCUACCAAGGCGACGAUCUGUAGCUGGUCUGAGAGGACGACCAGCCACACUGGGACUGAGACACGGCCCAGACUCCUACGGGAGGCAGCAGUGGGGAAUUUUGGACAAUGGGCGCAAGCCUGAUCCAGCCAUUCCGCGUGCAGGAUGAAGGCCCUCGGGUUGUAAACUGCUUUUGUACGGAACGAAAAGGUCCUGGUUAACACCUGGGGCUCAUGACGGUACCGUAAGAAUAAGCACCGGCUAACUACGUGCCAGCAGCCGCCGUAACAC